CGGGGGGUACAUUCACCUUUAGUGAUAGCUGUAGUUAUAAAAGUUUUGCCUAAGUAUCUCCCCAUGUUGAUGUUGGGAAAUACCAAGAUCUAUUAGAAUUUAUUUUCAUAGCGAUAGGAAUGAAAGUUAUCUUAAUGUCCGUGCUGAAACUCGGUUUCUUUUUUACAGCUAGGGAAACCUGGUCUUACACAAGAUCCAUGUAAUCAGGAUGCAUUCAGAAUUCUCUGUUAUAAACAAUCUAACUUAUCAUUCACUUACUUCUGCUUGCAGCAUUCUCUGGUAUAACUCUUGACUUUACCAUUUACUUGCUUCUGCAUGCAGCAUUUUGAUAUAAACUCUUGAAUUUACCAUUUACUUGCUUCUGCUGACAGUAUUCUCUGAUAUAAACUCUUGAAUUUAUCAUUUACUUGCUUCUGCUUGCAGCUUUUUCUGAUAUAAAUACUUGAAUUUAUCAUUUACUUACUUCUGCUUGCAGCAAAAUGAGAAGCCUCCCCCUGGAUCAGCACCUGAGCCUGUCAGUAGAAAGAGACCAGCAGAACCCGAGGCAGAAGCCCCACCAUUGAAAAGACCUGCUGUUACCAAUCCUCCCAAGAUAGAUAAGCCUGUAAAAAAGCCAGAAAAGGCAGUACCAGUAUCACCUACCAAGGCAGCUGGACGUCCCCCUGGUCCAGCACGUCCCCAAGGGCCAGCAAAACCUGCCCCAGCGGCACCAGCACCAGCUGCUACCACAGCAGCCGUGAAGAAGAAGAGCACAGUCUCAAGGAGAGAAGAACUUCUUAAACAGUUGAAGGCUGUUGAAGAUGCAAUUGCUAAGAAGAAAAAGAAAAUGGGUUGAAGAAAUUAGAAAGAAUAAAUGGACAAAAUAAUUCAAGUAAAGGCAAUAAGAAAGGUGGAUCCUUGAUGUAUUGUCAGUUUAUAGGAAUCUGGUGAGGUUACCAUAGAUUCUAGAAAUGAGAUGGAUGAGUGAUGUAGUUUACAGGUAAUGGACCGAGUAAAUUAUGCAUGUUUUGGUUUACCUGAGGAAUCAGUAAAUGUCGACAUAAUUAUGUUACACAAAAGGAAUCGUGACAUACUGUCCAAGGACACGGUUACUAUGACUGCAGAUUUAUAUUGUAAAUCCUUACAAGAAAAAUUGACGUACAUUCAAAUGGCAAAGAAAGUGUGUUCACUACAGUGAAAAACAGUAGUCACUGUGUGCUAAAAUGUAUAUAAAAGAUGAUUUUAAGCUAAUAUUUAAUAUGAAGUUUGUGCAAGGUUGUCUUGAUGAAAUGAUACCUAUAUUCUUAAAUAUAUUUGUCAGGAAGAUGCUUGCACUGUUUAUUUUUAGAAAAAGAAUGUAGAUAUAUCAUGGACAUAUUGUUUGUAUUGUUAACUGUGCAUAAGUUGAAAUUUUAGGUUUUCAUUUAUACCAUAAUUAUAAUCAUGGACAAUAGGAAACUUGGCAAUGUUUCCUUUAGAAAGGCUCCAUAGCCACUUGGUUUAGGUGGCCAACCUCAAAUAAUCACUUGCCCAACACUGAUUUAGAUUUGAAAAGGCCUCUGUGGCUGAGUGGUUAAGGUCUCUGACUGAAUCACUUGCUCCUCGGCACUGUGGGUCCGAAACCUCGUUUGGGGUGUAGAAUUCUUUCAUGUGAGGAAGCCGUCCAGUUGGCUUGUGGAAUGUAGGCGGUUCUACCCAGGUACCCACCCAUGCCUGAAAUUAUGCUUCGGGUGGCAUUUUACUUCCUUCAUCAAGAAAAGAUGACUGCGCCAUUUAAAUGACAAAAUGCUACGCUUUGGCAGGGGGGAUUGGAACAUACAAUGUAUUAGGAUAGUGGAGUAUCAUUAUUGAAACCUGUUCAUUGGUUGUUCACAUAACUUUGUAUGGUAUUCACAAGCAUCUAUUUAUAUGUACAAGCAAGGGAAGGAAGCAUGAUCAACUUUUAGGAAAUGGUGAUCUAUUGAAUAGAACGAUACAAAUCUUGCCUUAAAUAGAGUUACUGAGUGUAGCAGUAUGUUGUCGGGUUUUAUACAAUAAACAAGCUUAUAACAGGCUUAUCUUGGGAAUUAUAGUAUUAACACUUGUUUGGUUUAAUGAUCACUAUCCAGCCAAUUUAAAAUUAAUAUACAAUUUUCUCCGGAUAUUACUGAAUAUUCAGAUUUUCAUGGGAUAAAUACAGUCAACAAUUUUAAACUCUUCAUACAGUUUUUACUGACAAGGUAUUUUUGUUAUAAUUUCUGCUAUUGCAUUGAAAACACCAGGUGCCAUGGCAAUACAUUAUGUACUAAAUUUCUGUUACUAAAACUGGAAAUACCGCUUCAGUGUUAUAUUAAAUAAUCACAUUAAUAGUGAAACAAGUUAUAACAGUAGUUACAAACAUUGAUCUCUUAUGGAAGCCUCAAUACACUGGUGUGUCACCUAUGAUAUUUACAAUUAAAAACUGUGUCUGACUGUACAUUAGGUUUGCUACUACAUGCUCCCUUGUACACGAUGGAGUUAUUAAAGCAUGCAAGAUAGAGGUCUUUAAUACAUUAAAGGGGGUUUUAUUGGAAGCUGUUUAAUUAGCACUACCAUGUUGGUUUUCUUGAAACCUUUGCCAAUUUUAAGUUUUAUCUGUAACACUUUCAGAAAAGUUCUAUUUUUGCUCAUUUGUACAAUGUAUAUACAUCAUGUCUUGGAAAUUGAAAGUAAACCGAUACUGAAACCUAAA